rnacentral:piRNA from 1 species
GAAACAUCUUCUCUCCAGUGUCCACAGGGC